rnacentral:rRNA from 1 species
UACAGAGGGGGCAAGCGUUGUUCGGAAUUACUGGGCGUAAAGGGCGCGUAGGCGGCCCGCUAAGUCGGAUGUGAAAUCCCUCGGCUCAACCGAGGAACUGCAUCCGAUACUGGCGGGCUUGAAUCCGGGAGAGGGAUGUGGAAUUCCAGGUGUAGCGGUGAAAUGCGUAGAUAUCUGGAGGAACACCGGUGGCGAAGGCGGCAUCCUGGACCGGUAUUGACGCUGAGGCGCGAAAGCUAGGGGAGCAAACGGG